rnacentral:rRNA from 1 species
CAACGCCGCGUGGAGGAUGAAGUCCCUUGGGACGUAAACUCCUUUCGAUCGGGACGAUAAUGACGGUACCGGAAGAAGAAGCCCCGGCUAACUUCGUGC